UCCUAGUAGUUCGACCAAUGAUACAUUACGUGUUGUAGGACUCUGGCAUAAACUCCAACAUGGUGUUCGGAACAGUAGCUCGUCAACUUUCGAGGAGAUUUUCAACUUCUGUGGUGGCCAGAAGUCAACACUGGCAGCAGAAGGGUAUACCAGGCGCGAAUCUGCCGGUAGAUCUUGUCACCAACAAGUACAAGACAACUUGUUUUUUCAUUUUGUUCUUUUCAUCUGGAUUAUGUGCACCCUUCUACAUAGUUCGACACCAGCUUAUUAAGAAGUAGACAACCAGAUCACAUGGUUGACAUAUCAGUAGAUACUCAGACUGUGUACGAACGUCUCAUCGGACACGUGGACUGCUGGUCGGACUAAUCAUGGCGUUCUCCGCAACAUAAUAUAUAGACUUUAAUUUAAUACUUGACACUCACUUUAUGAUCUGAGAGGUGUGCUUUGUAUCUGUGUGUUUAGCAUGAAUUAAAUAUGCACCUGACAA